UUACCAGGCCUUGACAUGCAGAGAACUUCAGAGAUGGAUUGGUGCCUUCGGGAACUCUGACACAGGUGCUGCAUGGCUGUCGUCAGCUCGUGUCGUGAGAUGUUGGGUUAAGUCCCGUAACGAGCGCAACCCUUGUCCUUAGUUACCAGCACGUUAUGGUGGGCACUCUAAGGAGACUGCCGGUGACAAACCGGAGGAAGGUGGGGGAUGACGUCAAGUCAUCAUGGCCCUUACGGCCUGGGCUACACACGUGCUACAAUGGUCGGUACAAAGGGUUGCCAAGCCGCGAGGUGGAGCUAAUCCCAUAAAACCGAUCGUAGUCCGGAUCGCAGUCUGCAACUCGACUGCGUGAAGUCGGAAUCGCUAGUAAUCGUGAAUCAGAAUGUCACGGUGAAUACGUUCCCGGGCCUU
rnacentral:rRNA from 1 species